CAAAGGUUUGGUCCUGACUUUACUGUCAGCUUUAGCUAGAAUUACACAUGCAAGUAUCCGCACCCCCGUGAGAAUGCCCCCCGGUUUUCCGUCCGAAAACAAGGAGCUGGUAUCAGGCUCACCCAAUUUAUGCCCACGACGCCUUGCUUAGCCACACCCUCAAGGGAACUCAGCAGUGAUAGACCUUAAGCUAUAAGUGUAAACUUGACUUAGUUAAAGCUAAGAGGGCCGGUAAAACUCGUGCCAGCCACCGCGGUUAUACGAGAGGCCCAAGCUGACAAACGCCGGCGUAAAGCGUGGUUAAGGCACAUUUAAAAACUAAAGCCGAAUACCUUCAGAGCAGUUAUACGCAUCCGAAAGCACGAAGCCCCACCACGAAAGUGGCUUUAUGACUCCUGAUCCCACGAAAGCUAGGGCACAAACUGGGAUUAGAUACCCCACUAUGCCUAGCCGUAAACCUUGAUAGAACUAUACGCCCUCUAUCCGCCUGGGUACUACGAGCAUUAGCUUGAAACUCAAAGGACUUGGCGGUACUUUAGAUCCCCCUAGAGGAGCCUGUUCUAUAACCGAUAACCCCCGUUUAACCUCACCCUCCCUUGUUUAUCCCGCCUAUAUACCGCCGUCGUAAGCUUACCCUGUGAAGGCUUAAUAGUAAGCAAAAUUGGCACUGCCCAGAACGUCAGGUCGAGGUGUAGCAUAUGAGAGGGGAAGAGAUGGGCUACAUUCGCUAAAUUAGCGAAUACGAAUGAUAGUGCUGAAAAUGCACAUCUGAAGGAGGAUUUAGCAGUAAGUGGAAAGCAGAGUGUUCCACUGAAGCUGGCUCUGAAGUGCGUACACACCGCCCGUCACUCUCCCCGAGCUUACAAACACGAAUAUACAUAAAAUGCUUAAACCGCUAAGGGGAGACAAGUCGUAACAUGGUAAGUGUACCGGAAGGUGCACUUGGAAAAAAU
rnacentral:ncRNA from 2 species